UACGAAGGGGGCUAGCGUUGCUCGGAAUCACUGGGCGUAAAGCGCACGUAGGUGGGUCGUUAAGUCAGGGGUGAAAUCCUGGAGCUCAACUCCAGAACUGCCUUUGAUACUGGCGAUCUUCGAGUCCGGGAGAGGUGAGUGGAACUGCGAGUGUAGAGGUGAAAUUCGUAGAUAUUCGCAGGAACACCAGUGGCGAAGGCGGCUCACUGGUCCGAUACUGACGCUGAGGUGCGAAAGCGUGGGGAGCAAACAGG
rnacentral:rRNA from 1 species